AGGGGUGUGGUUCAGUGGUAGAGCAUUUGCCUGGCAAACACUAGGCCUUGGGUUCUAUCCCCAGUACCACAG
rnacentral:tRNA from 1 species